UGAGGAAUAUUGGUCAAUGGGCGAGAGCCUGAACCAGCCAAGUAGCGUGCAGGAUGACGGCCCUAUGGGUUGUAAACUGCUUUUAUGUGGGGAUAAAGUGCGUGACGUGUCAUGCAUUGCAGGUACCACAUGAAUAAGGACCGGCUAAUUCCGUGCCAGCAGCCGCGGUAAUACGGAAGGUCCGGGCGUUAUACGGAUUUAUUGGGUUUAAAGGGAGCGUAGGCUGUCUAUUAAGCGUGUUGUGAAAUUUACCGGCUCAACCGGUGGCUUGCAGCGCGAACUGGUCGACUUGAGUAUGCAGGAAGUAGGCGGAAUUCAUGGUGUAGCGGUGAAAUGCUUAGAUAUCAUGACGAACUCCGAUUGCGCAGGCAGCUUACUGUAGCAUAACUGACGCUGAUGCUCGAAAGUGCGGGUAUCAAACAGG
rnacentral:rRNA from 1 species